GCCUGGCUGGCUUAUUUGGUAGAGCAUGUGACUCUUGAUCUCAGGGUUGUAUGUUCAAGCCCUAUGUUGGGUG
rnacentral:tRNA from 1 species